GGUACUCUUAGAACAGUGAUUGUAAGAUUCACGAACAAAAAUGAAACAAGGAUUAAAAAAAGGCGCUAACAGGACGGCAACUACUUCAGUCCAAGCCUCAAAAGUGAAGUUGAGGCCCAUCAUGCUGCAAAAGGCUCAACAUUUAGAUGAGGAGCUUCUCAAUGGCAUCCUUUAGUUGCUGUAUUUGAGAUUUCAACUGGCUUCCCUCGUUGCUUGUCACUGAACAAGCAAUGACGGGGCGGGUAACACCACAUGCUCGCCCAAGAGCUUGCUUUGAAGGGACAAAGACAUAGGGCACAUUCUUAUCUUCGGCAAGGAGUGGAAGGUGAAGAAGGAUUUCAAGGGGCUCAGUAUCUGCGGCCAUGACAACAAAUUCUGAAAUUCCUCUGUUGAGUGUCUUUGUAGCUUCAUUAGCACCCUUCUUAAGCUGCUUAUAAUUAGCAGCUUGUUGAACCAAAUCCAUUAUCGUCGUUGUAAGCUGUGAAUCAGCAAGUGGGUAUGCUUUUGGGUUCACAGUUUCCGUUGCCAUGGCAGCCGCGAGUUGAGAGAACUGUGAGAAGAAGUUUAGGGUUUAGGUGAAGAAGAUGCUCCAGCUUGCUGCUGCU
rnacentral:misc_RNA from 1 species